rnacentral:lncRNA from 1 species
AAAAGAAGUCCCACACUCAACAGCAACACAGCUAACAAAGGUGGAAACGAUGGCCCAGGAGGAGAGAGGAUGGGCACAGGAUUGGGAGAGUCCCUGUGUCCCCUGAGCAAAAUUUCUAAAAGUAGAUACUGUUUAAAAGGGAGGAAAUACAUUUGACAUUGUGGCUGUCAUGAGUGCAAGAGAAAGUGGUCAGUGGAUGGUGCUAGGAAGCACCAUUGUUCUCAUCCAUAACUGACUCUCACCCAGCUUAACCCCAGGACCUCUUCCUAUAAGGCUGGAACCCCACUAGACCUUUGCCUCCAAGGGCCGCCCUGAACUUUCCUUUUCCUCCUUUUUGGAAGAGAAACUCGGAAAUGCAUGCGUUUUCAUUCGGAGCUUGCUAACCAUCCCUCAGUGCUCUCACAUUUGGGUGCUGAUUUGCGUCUCUGCACUUAGCAUCACGCAAAAUGUAGAAAUGACCACUUUUUCCUGAUGCCCAAGAAAAACUGGCUGAGAUGCAGGAGUAUCCCCAAACAGGAACUUGUGCCUGAUCAAUGUGAGCAGUGUGAAUUUGGUCCUCCCGCUCCGGAUGAGCUCAGCUUCACUCCAGGGUCCUAUGAGAAGUGAGGGCUGGAAAAUCUCUGUGUGAGAAACAGUAUCACUUGAGGAAGUCUUAAGGCUUCUUAGAGCAGUUUCAGGUUCGAAGCAAAAUUGAGAGAAACAUAGAGAGAUUUCCCAUAAACUCCUGCCUCUGCACACAUGCAUCCUCCCCCAUGAUCACCUUUGCCCACUAGAGUGGUACCUUUGUCAGAACUGAUGAGCCUACACGGGUACAUCUUUAUUAUACAGAGUCCAGGGUUCACACUCGGGUUCACCCUUGGGCUCAAUGUGUUUCAAAAGUGCUGCACAUUCCUUGGGUUUGACCAGUGUAUAAUGACAUGCAUCCACCACUAUCGUAUUGUACUGAGUCGUUUCUCUGCCCUAAAAAUCCUCUGUGCUCUACGUAUUCAUCCUUCUCUACCUAGUAACCCUUGGCAACCAUUGAUCUCUGUAAUGUCUCCAUAGCUUUGCCUUUUCCAAAACACCAUAUAGUUGGAAUCACACAGUAUGUCACUGACAUUUUUUGGAGCAAGGAUUUAGUGACUAUUCCUUUCUACUAGGAUAGACUGCUUCCUUGCCUACAUCUUCUGCUGUGAGACAGCUUCACAGUCAUCUCCAUUUUGCUCUUAAUGUGGGAAGAGUAUUCCCAUUUCUCACCAUCUGUCCAAGAAUACCCAGAGAUGCCUGACAACUGAAAACAGCUUAUGUUUAAUAGCUUGAUAGGCUACGAUCUGAUGGCACGACUCCCUAAGGAGGAUCUGAUCAGAUCGCUCAUAUGAAAAUACAUUCAGUUCUGCUAUUCACUUGUUUUGAAAAUGCAAAUUUGUUCCAAUGCAAUUGGUGUAUUGGAGAACAAUUCAAGCAGAAUGAGAAUUUCAUGUUUGUGUAUGCAUGAUUUCAUCCAUGAAAAACACUAGGUGAGCAGAGACAACUGCACUUAGCUGAAUCCAGCUGCCCAGGAAGGCAUAAAACAGUCACACACUCACACACACGCACACGCACAGACACCCCUCAACAUCUGCCAGCCACCUCAGUUCACUGACAAUGUUAUGAGCCACACCCAUGCACAUUUGGUGUUAACAGCUUUCUGUUUGAUUUCCUUUCUUUUCUGUCCCUCCUGAUAACUCUCCUUCUACUGCUUCAGAAUAACUCAUAAGCUAUAAUCCUUCUGAUGCCCACUUCCACAAGCAAACUUCAGAUAUUUUUCAAGGUACAGUGCCAUAUUUAUUGUAGUAUUUAUGUAUUUCUUAACCAUUUAACAAGUGUAAAGCUGUGCUACAGUGUUUAUUAGGUUCCUUCUUUUUUAAUGUGUCAGCUGACAACGUUUCUAGGUGUUGUGCCCAGGACCCCAUAAACCUAGUAGUUUGUUGUUGUGUUUCUUUAUUUUUUUAAUUAAUUAAUUAAUUUAUUUUUGAGACAGAGUCUUGUUCUGUCGCCCGGCUGGACUGCAGUGGCGCGAUCUCGGCUCACUGCAACCUCUGGCUCCUGAGUUCAAGCUAUUCUCCUGCCUCAGCCUCCCGAGUAGCUGGGACUACAGGUGCAUGCCACCAUGCCCUGCUAAUUUUUUUGUAUUUUUAGUAGAGAUGGAGUUUUACCAUGUUGGCCAGGAUGGUCUCUAUCUCUUGACCUUGUGAUCCGCCCACCUUGGCAUCCUAAAGUGCUGGGAUUACAGGCAUGAGCCACGACACCCAGCCAAACCCAGUAGUUUUUUAUUACACAAUUCUGUAGAUUGCAGCGAUUUUUAGGAACACAUGUGGCACUCCAGCAGCAGAAAUGACUGUGUAUGACAGGAUGCAAAAAUGGAAUUCCUUUUCUCUAGGAUUCCACUGAGAGUCUAAGAUCAUUUAUGUGUCAACUUCCUCAUUUGCAAAGGAGUUAGAAAAAGAAUCACUUUUUUAUUUACUCUUGCAUGGGCAAGUACUAAAGUUGAAGAUGGAAAUUUAUUUGGAAAUUGGAGGUGCUAAAGCAAAAUAUCCAGGAGGCCAUUAGCCUGGGGUUGGUUCUGUACCUGGAACACUUACACAGGCAAACCAAAGUUCAACUUGGAAGCAUUUCUUGAAACUGAUUAUUAUUAUUUUUUUGGGGGGGGGUUGGGAGUGGUGGGGGGGAGACAACAACCAAUAAUCAGCCAAUCAGAAACAGCCAACUAGCAACCAGUCACAACCAACUAGCAACCAAUCAGUGAACUAGCAACCAUUCACAAACAACCAACUAGCAACCAAUCACAAACAGCCAACUAGCAACCAAUCACAAACAGCUAAGUAACAACCAGACACCAGCAGCCAACUAAUGAUUAAUUAUAAAAAGCCAACCAGCAACCAAUCACGAGUAGCAAACCAGUAAGCGGUCACUAACAAUCAACUAGUAGUCAAUCACAAACGGCCAACUGGGAACCAAUCUCAAACACCCAGCCACAAACAGCUAAUUAGCAACCAAUCACAGGCAGCCAACUAGUACUCUAUCACAAGCAGCCAACUAGCAACUGGUCACACACAGCCAACUAGCUGUUAGUUAUGUAAGUAGGGACUUUUCACAAGAUCAUACUCAAAUGAGGCCUGGCUGGAGUCAGUUGAGUAAUUCCUUUGUUUUCAUGGUCAGCCUGCAAAAGCUUGCUGUUCAGUCUGCUGGAGCAGAGCUCUCUGCAUCUCUUCUGUGUCUGAGUGCUGCCCGAUUGCUGAAUGCCUUAAUGCUCAAACUCUGUAAAAUUUAUUUUGUCUAAACUUUUUCCUUUCAUGGAAACUUUCUUUGGAAAGAGUAACUUGAGCACCUGGGUCCCUAAAUCUCCCUUCUCUGGGAGAAGGAUGGGUGUACUGUCCCCUCACAUCAUGCCUGGUAAGAGGAGCUCCAGGCCCCUGCUACAGCUGACUGUGCGUCCAUGGAGCUUGUGGUUACACAGUGGAGCAGUGCCUGCCUCACAGCUGAGAAGAGCCAACAACCCGGCUCCAGUGAUCUGAAAUACAUGACCAACACUAAAUUUUGUGUAUUUGCCACAACUGCUUGAAAGAAUCAUUUAGAAUGGUGUCACAGGUCCUGAGAAUAGAGAUGAUGACUGAAGAGGGUUGUGGACAAGAUGUAAGGACAUAAGUAGAGGGCAGAGAGGACACAAGAUGCCACGCUCCUGGCUGUGAAGAUAGGGUAAGGGACCACAAGCCAAGAAAUGCAGGCAGCCUCUAGCGGCCGGAAAAGGCAUGGAAACAGCUCCUUCGCUUAUCUUCCAGAAGGAAUGCAGGACUGCCUACACCUAAUCUUAAUCGAGUCAAAAUAAUGUCAGACUUCUGAGACCUCCAGAACUGCGAGAUAAUAAAUUUGUGUUGUUUUAAAACCACAGAAGGCGUGGUGAUUUGUUAGCCCAGCUAUAGAACACUUAACACGAAUCAAGGGUGGAAGCAGAGGAGAAGGGGAAGAAGGGGGAAAGACCUUCAAUUCGUCUUGGAAAGUAAGGCUCACAGUCAACUGCACACUGAGUACAAAUUUACCUCCAGGGACUGAGGCCAACCUAGCUCAGGACCAGGGCAAAAGCACCUUGAAGUGCUGAGACCAGUCUCAUCAUAUCACCACCAAUAGCACAGGGAGGCUCAAUUCCAGCAGACACACCCUGUGACUCCAUUGAUGACACAGUCUGUCUGCAAUUGGCAAACUCUUCUUUGUCUGUGAGUAAAAUGAUGUUGUUUACAAGCAAAGUUGAAAGCAUGAAAGAUUUUCGAUAAACUCCUCAGGGCUCAUUACAAUUGGAAUCAAUUUUAUGCACUCUGGUUUGGGUAGCAUCCUUCUAUGAUUAGAGGGUGGAUGCCAAGCAGCCUAUCGUGUUAAAAAUAGGAAAAAGACUAUAGGAUUGUCUAAGCAGAGUGGAAAAACAGGCUGAAAGAGUUCAGUGGGUUUGUGUAACUUUGUCUUGUAACAAAGUCAGCAAGUGAAAAGCUAGGGAAGGUUUUUUCCUCCUCUUCUGCCUCAAUUUUCUUUUUUUUUCUGCCUGAAUUUGAAUAUAGAUUUCAUCUAUUUAAACAGAAAUACAGUCUAUCCUCUUUGUAUACUGAUCUCUUGUAUUCCCCGCUUCUUCACUUUUGUUUCUUCCUCAUUACUUACAAGCAGGAUGGAAGUCAGGUAGAGCCGACUGCAUUCCAAGUCCUUCACUUUCUCUUCGGGUAGCUGGGCCCUGGGUCUGGCAUCUUGUGAAUGUAAAAUGAAGGUUGCCUUUUGUCUGGUCCUUCUUUCGUAUAACAGAUCAUAGUGAUUGGCACUCGUCACACACACAUUUUUAUUCCAGAGUAUAGUCUCAGAAAAUCCUGCUGAAGGUUCAAGCCAAGAAGACACUUCUAUGCCAAUUAAUCCUAAAACCACCCUUGCAUAAUUAUAAAUAAUGAGAGAACUCUAACAUGACCAACUCCAUCUUGCUUUUAACCUUAACUGCUCACUUGUUUUUGUUUUGCUUAUUAUAGUAGAGAGACCAAUAAAACUAUGAGAGGAAUGUAGUCAUAGUUAAACUUGGAGUCAAGGGAAACUGAUCCCCUUUCUUGUCUGGAGAUUAAAGGUACAUUCAUAAAACAAAAUUAGAAUUAUGGUAGGGGAUUAAACUUCGCUAAGGACUAGGAAGCAUUAAUGACUUGCCAUUGCUUAGUGAUUAUUAAACUCUUUCUUUGCUGCAAUAACUGUUGUUCUUGGGCCAGGCAGGGAUGGCUCAUGCCUGGAAUCUCAGCACUGUAGCAGGCCAAGGCAGGAGGAUCACUUGAGCCCAGGAAUUGGGGACUAGCCUGGGCAACAUAGUGAGACCUCGUUUCUACAAAAAAAUUUUAAAAAUUAGCUGGAGGCUGGGCGCAAUGGCUCACACCUGUAAUCCUAGCACUCUGGGAGGCCGAUGCAGGUGGAUCACCUGAGGUCAGGACUUUGAGGCCAGCCUGGCCAACAUGGUGAAACCCUGUCUCUACUAAAAAUACAAAAAAAAAAAUGGCCGGGUGCAGUGGCUCAUGCCUGUAAUCCCAGCACUUUGGGAAGCUUAGGCAGGCACAUCAUGAGGUCAAGAGAUCGAGACCAUCCUGGCCAACAUGGUGAAGCCCCGUCUCUACUAAAACUACAAAAAUUAGCUGGGCACAGUGGCCCCUGCCUGUAGUCCCAGCUACUCGGCAGGCUGAGGCAGGAGAAUCGCUUGAACCCAGGAAGCGGAGGUUGCAGUGAGCCAAGAUCGCACCACUGCACUGCAGCCUGGUGACAGAGUGAGACUCCAUCUCAAAACAAAACAAAACAACAACAACAAGAAGAAAAAUUAGCUGGGUGUGGUGGGGUAUGCCUGUAAUCUCAGCUACUUGGGAGGCUGAGGCAGGAGAAUUGCUUGAGCCGGGAGGCGAAGGUUAUAGUGAGCCAAGAUCAUGCCACUGCACUCCAGCCUGGGCGACAUGCAACAAGACUCUGUCUCAAAAAAAAAAUAAUAAUAAUAAUUAGCUGGGUAUGGUGGUGAAUGCCUGUAGUCCCAGAUAUUUGGGAGGCUGAGGUGGAGGUUGAGGCUGCAGUGAGCCAUGAUUUCACCACUGUACUCCAGCCUGGAUGACAGAGUGAGACUCUGUCUCAAAAAUAAAUAAAUAAAUUAAAUACCUUCCAUCUCACUGGCUUUUUCAGGGAGGCAGUGGAAGAACCUGUCAGUCUGUGACAAUCCCUCAAUAUUGGCUAUCAGUGACUUUUAUGGUCUGGAUGGUCAAAGAGAAAAAUGGCGCCAGAAAAACCCAGCAUGUCCCUAUUUAAUUAGGAAAAGGGGAAUUAGUAUUACUGUAUGCCUACUAUUUGCUAGGUACUGAUUAAAGUGUUGGUUACUUAGAAAUAUUUCAUUUCUUUAUCAUGUUCAUAGUUCUACCAAAGCGUAGAUUUAAUUGUCAAAUAGCACAAUCUCUAGCAACUGGUAUAACUUACGCUAUUAAUAAAUGCUAGGUCUUUGGAAUACGAGUGGAGUUUGAAACUUUAUUUUGCUUUUUAGAAAGUGGUGGAUUUCAGACAAUUUUCUUAACCUUUUCAAGCCUCAUUUAUUCAACUGACCUUUUACCCAGUGUCUGCAAUGGAUCUACCACUGGCCUGUCCUGAAGGGGUAACAGAUAAAAGACAAAGUCCCUUCUUUGCAGAGAAAACCAUUAGCCUUUAGUUUCUUCCAUGUCAAAAUUUGAAUAGUACCCAUUUUGCAGUGUGUUGUGAGAAUCAAAUGAGAUAAGUUUUUAUGAGAGUGCUUCACAUUUAGAAGAAACUCAAUAAAUGUUAAUUUCUUGCUUUCCCUAGCGGCAGCCUAGGGGGAAGGAAAUUUUUCAGCUGGGAAACUUUUAUUUGUGCUUCUCAAAUAAUAUUAACACUGCCUUGGGGGUGAGUGGUUCUGAAUAACAAGCAUGGGAACAAUAUUAGAAUGAAGGUACCUCCAUGGAUUGGUGAAAAUUGUAGUGAGAUUUUGGUCAAUAUUCAACAUUUGACAGUAACCUUAUUAUAAGAAUAAUUCUAUUAUAUUCAGUUUUAUUGUUUGGUGAGAUGUGCUGAAGCGUAACCUCACUGAUGGAGACAAAGUGAGAGAUAGUAGUGAUUUGGAGUAGAAUUAACAGAAGUGUGUAUUACUGAUCCUGGGCUUAUUAAAUGGUCUGUUACAGCCAAUGCAGUAACUCCUGUAAGAUGUGCUGAUAAGAGUAGAGUAAUACUGUGACCAUUCAUUCGCAAAUGGUAGGACCAAAGUUCUCUCUUUUUUUUUAAAUGGAGUUUCGCUCAUGUUGCUGAGGCUGGAGUGCAGUGGCGCGAUCUCAGCUCACUGCAACCUCCGCCUCCUGGGUUCAAGCGAUUCUGCUGCCUCAGCCUCUCUAGUAGCUGGGACUACAGGCAAGUGCAACCACGCCUGGUUAGUUUUUGUAUUUUUAGUAGAGACGGGGUUUCACCAUGUUGGUUAGGCUUGUCUCGAACUCCUGACCUCAAGUGAUCCACCUGCCUCGGCCUCCCAAAGUUCUGGGAUUACAGGUGUGAGCCACCGGGCCUGCCCUGGACCAACGUUCUUCUAACAGGACGAAUAUGCUUAACUCGUAUGAAACUGGACUGCAGUCUGCUCUAAAGGUGUGCCUCCUUCUUUGGCGAAUUUAUAAGGAAGUCCCCACAGCCCUCAGGACAGAGACUGAACAAGGGAUGUGACUGCUGUGAAUACUCCCAGCCAAAGGCCAUCAGGACACCCGGAGUUGAACAAGCGGGAUCACGAGUCCACCGGGAGAAAUGAACAACUCCAGACGCGUGGUCUUAAGAGCUGUACCACUCACCAUGAAGCUCUGUGGCUUCACUUCUGAAUCCAGGGAGGCCACGAACCCACCAGAAGGUAGAAACUGUGAACCCGUUCAAACAUCAGAAGGAACGAACUGGACACGUUGUUCUUAAGAAGUGUAACACUGAUCGUGAGGGUCUGUGGUUUCAUUCAUGAAGUCAGUGAGACGAGGAACCCACCAAUUACAGACACAGUAUGAUGAACCAAAAACCCCAACACUUCCCUGCCAUAAAACAGGAAUCAAAUGAGGCCAGUAACAAAGACAGUUUGAGUCCAGGGCACUGAGUGAAGGCACUAGAUAUGCUGGGACUCAUCAUUGCUUUGGAACAGGGACAGGAUCUGGGUACGAAGUUUCUACCGCUCUUGUGGUGGGGAGUUGGGUUGGGCAUCACUUUCAUACGGCGAGAGGAAACGGUGGUGUCAUCUAUGUUAGCACUGGCUGCAGUGGAGCUUAAAAAACAUGUUGCAAGCUCUCACAUGGGUUCAAGUCUGAAUUUCCACUGCUACGUGGUCUGAAAACUGCAAGCAGGAAUUUACAUUUAAAGCACAUGGAGUCUAUAGUAUCCCCAGGUACUUCAGAGAAGCAAAUAUCAAUACUCCCUCGAGGAGUAAGUCUUCAAACAAGGCUUCCAAGCACCCCACAGGGUUAGUGGCACCAACUUUUAACUACUGUAACUAAUAAGGAGAAGCCAAGGGUACAUAUGAAGAAGUUGUUUAUGAGCAUUUGCCAACAAAAAAAGACCUGCAAAGACGUCAGAUACUGUAAGAACAGAAUACAGAAUAUAAAAUGGGUAUUCUUAAUAUGUUUCAAUGAGUAAAGGCAGAAAUAAGGUGAAGAGUCAGGAUGAAGGGAUCACCGAAGAUGAGCAGACAAAUUUGGGCAAAACUAGAAAUGUAAACUAUAAUAAUUGAAGUAAAAAGAAAACUCAAUGGAAGGGUUAAAAAAUUGCUGGAGAUGAGAGAACAAUUAGUAAACUCAGUUAUUCAAAAAUUAUACUAUUACACAAAGAGAUCAAUACAUUAAAAAUAGAAAAGUUUAAGAGACAAGUAGAAAAUCCACCGUACAUAUAAUCAGAAUUUGAGAGGCAGAUUGUUGAAAAAAAAUGCAAGGAAUAAAUUUUUUUUUUUUUUUUUUUUUUUGAGAUGGUCUCACCCUGCUGCCCAGGCUGGAGUGCAGUGGUGUGAUCUCGGCUCACUGCAAGCUGUGCCUCCCAGGUUCAAGCGGUUCUCCUGCCUCAGCCUCCUGAGUAGCUAGGAUUACAGGCACACGCCACCACGCCCAGCUAAUUUUUGUAUUUUUAGUAGAGACAGGGUUUCACCAUAUUGUCCAGGCUGGGCUCGAUCUCCUGCCUCGGCAUCCCAAAGUGCUGGGAUUACAGGCGGGAGCCACUGCACCUGGCCAAAAUAUUUCAAGAAGUAAUGACCAGUGUUUCUGGAAUGAAUGAAAGACCCAAAUCCAUCGUGUGUCUUUCAUUCCAUUUGAUUUCUCAUUUGGUUUUUCUUUUUGCAGCUGGGAAGUUUCAGGGUUAUUGGCUCAUCAUAGUACCAAAUCAUGACAGAUCCAAAGAAAGACAAAUAAAAGCCAGUCAAUAUUAGGACAUAUUAACAGUGCAACAGCAGAACAACAUAAACAAUAAGGGAUCGUGAAAGAAGAGACACUUUGCCACCGGGCGUGGUAAAUAAGCAUAUGUAAAGAUGAUGUCAACAUCUUGUAUCACCAAGUAUUACAAAUUUUUAAAAAAGGAAAUAGCACUACACACCUAUUAAAAAGGGGAGCAGGCAGGGUGUGGUGGCUCAUGCCUGUAGUCCUAGCACUUUGGGAGGCCGAGGCCGGCAGGUCACUUGAGGUCAGGAGUUUGAGACCAGCCUGCCCAACAUGGAGAAACCCCGUCUCUACUAAAAAUACAAAAGUAUUCGGGCGUGGUGGCAGGCACCUGUAAUACCAGCUACCUGAGAGGCUGAGUCAGGAGAAUCGCUUGAACCCGGGAGGCGGAGGUUGUGGUGAGCUGAGAUUGCGCCACUGCACUGCAGCCUGGGCAACAAGAGCCAAACUCCGUCUCAAAAAAAAAAAAAAAAAAAAAAAAAAAGGGUGAGCAUCCCAAACACCAAUGCUGGCAAGAAUGUGUAGCAAUAGGAACUCUGAUUCAUUGUGCUGGGAGUGGAUGUACUCAUAAAAUGGUACUGAUACCAUGGAGGGCAGUUCGGUGGUUUCCUAUAAAACUAAACAUUCUUUUACUACAUAGUCCGGCCAUUAUGCUCCUUGGUAUUUACCCAAAUGAACACAUCAAUGUUUAUAGUAGCCUUAUUUGUAAUUGCCAAAGCUUAGAAGCAACUAAGAUGUUGUUCCUUAGGUUAAAAAAGAAAAGAAACUGUGGCACCUCCAGACAAUAGGAUAUUAUUUAGUGCUAAAAAUAAAUAAGCUACCAAGUGACAACACCACAUGGAGGAAUGUUAACUGCGUAUAAAUGACAGAAACAAAAACCAAUCCGAAAAGGUGAUGCACUGCAUGAUUCCAGUCAUGUGAUGCUUCGGAAAAGGCAAAACUAUGGAAAUGGUAAAAAGGUCAGUGGUUGCCAGAGGUUAAGGAUAAAGAGAGAUGAUUAGGUGGAGAACAGAAGAUUUUUAGGAUAGUGAAACCAUUUUGUCUGAUAAUAUAAUGGUGGAUAUGUGUGAUUAUACAUUUGUUAAAAACCAUGGAAUGUACAACCCUAAGAGAGAACCCUAAUAUAAACCAUGAAAUUUGAAUAAUAAUGAUGUAUCAUUGCAGGUCUGUAGAUUUGUCAAAUAUGCACCACUGUCGUGGGGGAUGGUAGUAGUGGGGUAGGUUGUGUGUGUAUAGGGACCAAGGGUAUAUGAGAACUCUCUGUACUUUCUGAUCAAUUUUGAUGUGAAGCUAAAACUGGUCUAAAAAAUAAAGUUUAUUAAAUUACAAAAAUCUAACAGGGUUAAAAGGAAAUGGGAAAAUUAAUUUAAAAAUGUAUAUGGGCCAGGCGCGGUGGCUCAUGCCUGUAAUCCUAGCACUUUGGGAAGCUGACACGGGCGAAUCAUGAGGUGAAGAGAUCGAGAUCAUCCUGGCCAACAUGGUGAAACCCUGUCUCUACUAAAAAUGCAAAAAUUAGCCAGGCGUGCUGCAAGGUGCCUGUAGUCCCAGCUACUCGGGAGGCUGAGGCAGGAGAAUCACUUGAACCCGGGAGGCAGAGGUUGCAGUGAGCCGAGAUCGCACCACCGCACUCCAGCCUGGGUGACAGAAUGAAACUCCAUCUUAGAAAAAAAAAAGAAAGAAAAAACAUGUAUAUGGCAGCAUAAAUAUCAAGAACAAAUGGGAGAAACUCUUCAAGUGGAAUGAGGUGGGAACAUAUCCUUCCUCAGACAUCAAGACGCAUUAUAAUCCAUAGACUAUAAGACAGUGGCACUAGCACAACAAUAGACCAACAGAGAAAAGAAAUUUGUUAGAUUGUCUGGAAAUAACACAGUGAAAGUGUGGAGGUUUGAUAAGUGGUGAAAUUAUCCUGUAUGUGAAUGGGGAUAAUAUGCGCUAGUCCAUUGAAUUAAUCGUCUCUCUCUGACUGUUUCUCCCUCUCACUUUCUUUCUGUGUGUGUGUGUGUGUGCAUACAUGAGUGUGUGUGCAUGCGUGUUUGAUGGGGACAGGAGGCAGGGAAACGCUGGGUAGAAGAAGGUGGUUCUUCAGCAAAGGCCCCACCUUCAAGCCUGGAAACUGUGGCUCUAAAUGAAAACAGUUAUCUCUGUUUUCCCGUCCAAUUGUUGCUUUAUUCAAAACCACCCUGGCCCGCCACCCUCAUGCCCCUCCCCCCCUGACCCCGCAUCCUGUACUCAUAAAACCCCCAAACCCCAGGUUCAAUGAGCAGGAGGGCGGCACAGCAGCAGAGCAGCAGAGCGGCAGAGUGGAGAAGGAGAGAAGAGAAGUGUCUGAACAUGGGGAGGAGUUUGGCUGGGGGCGGUCAUAGAAGAGAUUCGCCAUGAGAUGGCUGAACUCCAGGGGACAAUCAUCUUCCCACUCCAUCCCCUCUCCACCUCCCCAUCCCACUGAGAGCCACCUCCACCUCUCAAUGAAAUCCCUGCAUUCACCAUUCUUCAAGUCCAUGUGACCUGAUUCUUCCUGGAAGCUAGACAGGAAUUCAGGAUUCCUGUACCAAUUCCAUUGGGUACAGGAACCAAAAAGACUGUCACGUUGACUCUUCACUGAGCUGUUAAACACUUUAGCUUUCCCUGGGUGGCAGGGCUAAAGGACAUUGUAAUACCCCUAGCCACUGCUGGGGGGUCAGAGCCCAAAUGUGCUCACCCCAGCUCACCUGUGUGCUCUCCCUCCCUUAAAGGGUUUGAACACGCACCAGCCGAAUAAAUGAGCCACAUGCCAUCACAUGUUCCGCGAGGGGUCAGAGAACUCUCCUGUUUCAUGUUGACGGAUGUUGUAAGCAUUAAUGGUUUUAAAUGCAAAAGGAAAACUCGGAAAUGUUAAAGAUAGUAUAGAAUAAUUUCAUUAUGGCCUUUGAAUAGGAAAGUAUUUCUGAAACAGCAUGUAAGAUGUACAAGCCACAAAAACAUCUUGAUAAAUUUGACUACAUUAAAAUUAAAAACUUCUUUUAAUCGAAAGAUACAAUAAAAAAAGCAUAAGUGAUACACAUGCAGGGAAAAUAAUUUUUUUCUUUUUUUUUUUGUGAUGGAGUUUUGCUCUUGUUGCCCACGCUGGAGUACAAUGGUACGAUCUCGGCUCACCGCAACCUCCCUGUCCUGGGUUCAAGCGAUUCUCCAGCCUCAGCCUCCCGAGUAACGGGGAUUACAGGCAUGCGCCACCACACCCAGCUAAUUUUGUAUUUUUAGUAGAGACAAGGUUUCUCCAUGUUGGUCAGGCUGGUCUCGAACUCCUGACCUCAGGUGAUCCACCCGCCUUGGCCUCCCAAAGUGCUGGGAUUACAGGCAAAAGCUACCAUGCCUGGCCUAAUUUUAAAAAAUACAUGAAAUUAAUGAAGCAUUAUGAUCCAGAAUAUAUAAAAGUAUAAUAUAUCAGUAAAUCAACAAAAAUGGGGAAAAGAUGUGAAAAAAUUUCACAGUAGAGGAAAUAACCUGUUAGAAAAAUCUGUAAAAGGUACUAACAAGUACUUUACAGAACAGGAAUAUAAGUGGCCAGUAGAUAUAUAUAAAAAGAUUCUCAAUUCGUAAUAAUCAGUAAAAGGCAAUUUAAUAUUUAAUGAAAUCUCAUGAUACACCUAAUACAUAGGUAAAUAUGACCAGGAUAUAGAACAAGGAUGUCCCUGGGGCAGUUGCUAAGAGUGUGAAUUGGUGCAAUGACUUUCAAAAUCAAUUUGGCAUUAUCUUGUAAACUGAAUGUGAGUAUGCCCAAUUCUAGUAUGUGCUGUAGGAAAAAUGUCUACCCCUUUGCACAAGGAAUCAUACAAAAUAAUGUUUCUAGGAGCAUUGUUAAUAAUAGCAAAAGACAAGAACAAAACCUUGCAAGUAACCAAAUGUCUAUUGGGUCUAUUUGUGGGAAAAUGGAUAAAGAAAUUGAGGUUUAUUCAUGAAUUGGACACUAUAUAAUGGUGAAAAUGAAUAAACUUGAAUUACACAUGUCAGGGUGAUCGAAACUCAGAAAGUUAAUACAUUGUGGAAGCAAGUUGUGGAAAGAUAUGCAGCAUGAUACUGUAUUAUAAAUUCAAAGCCAAGCACACUAGGCAGUGUAUUAACAGCUGUGCAACACGUAUGUGAAUGGAACUCUUGGAGAAAACCCAGGGCCAGGGAUGAAGUAACAGAAGCGAACAGGAGCUUCAGAGAUAACAGUGACGUUCCAUGUCUUAGUGUGGGUGAAGGGGUCAAUGGUGUUUGUUUCAUGAAAAUCUAUCUCUAUCUGCUAUCUGUCUGUCUGUCUGUCUAUCUAUCUAUCUCUCUAUCUAUCUAUCUUCUAUCUAAUCUUAUCUAUCCAUCCUAUCUACAGAUGUAUAUGUUUGUGUGUAUAUAAAUAUACAUCUGUCACAAACAUUCUCUUAUGUGUAUCAAAUAUUUUCAUAAUAAAAACAUUUACAAAAUCUCCUACUCUUUCUAGUCCUGUUAUUCCAUAGUUUCCCCUUCUGUGUCUUGUUUUGUAAACUUAAUGUGUGGGCCAGGUGCAGUGGCUCACGCCUAUAUUCCC